AGCUGUUUAGUUUAUUGUUGAAUUUUCAUUUGUGGUGUGAAAGGAUUCGUGGCUU
rnacentral:tRNA from 1 species